rnacentral:tRNA from 1 species
AGCAGCGUGGCUCAGUGGAAAGAGCAUGGGCUUGGGAGUCAGAGAUCAUGGGUUCGAAUCCCAGCUCUGCCA